rnacentral:lncRNA from 7 species
GCCUGCGAUUCUUCUCCCCGCGGUGUUCAACGUGCAAGGCUGCAAACGGAAUCGGCAAGGCGAGGCGCAGUGGGGAAAAUCCCAUCGAUUCGCUCGGCCCUCGCCCCUCCGCUCGCUCCAGAGGCACCGGCGCCGCCGACUCCGGACUACUACUCCCCGCGACGCAGGCGCUGUCUCCCUCCUCGCGCGGCGGCCGCCACCG